rnacentral:piRNA from 1 species
UGAUGCCAAGUGUCUGGGUACUUGUAGGA